rnacentral:rRNA from 1 species
AGGGCAUACGGUGGAUGCCUUGGCUAUACUGGCCGAAGAAGGACGCGGUAAGCUGCGAAAAGCUACGGAGAGGUGCAAGCGACCAUUGACCCGUAGAUAUCCGAAUGGGGGAACCCGGCAGAGUAAAGCUCUGUCACCCAUACCAGAGAGUAUGAGGAGGGCACCUGGGGAACUGAAACAUCUAAGUACCCAGAGGAAAAGUAAUCAAACGAGAUUCUCUUAGUAGCGGCGAGCGAACGGGGAAGAGCCCAAACCGGACUGGUUCGCCAGACCGGGGUUGAGGACUGCUAACAAGCAUAAAUGGGAUAGACGAACCGACUUGGAACGGUCGGCCGAAGAAGGUGAAAGCCCUGUAGUCGAAAUCCUGCAUAUGUGGAGCAGUAUCCAGAGUACCACGAGACACGUGAAACCUUGUGGGAAGCAGGGGGGACCACCCUCCAAGGCAAAAUACCAGUAUGGACCGAUAGCGCAUAGUACCGUGAGGGAAAGGUGAAAAGCACCCCGGGAGGGGAGUGAAAGAGAACCUGAAACCGUAUGUCUACAAACAGUCGAAGACCGUAUAAUUGCAGGUCGACGGCGUGCCUAUUGAAGAAUGAACCGGCGAGUUACUGUCACUAGCGAGGUUAAGCGGAAAACGUGGAGCCGAAGCGAAAGCGAGUCUGAAUAGGGCGAAUAGUUAGUGGUAGUAGACCCGAAACCGUAGUGAUCUAUCCAUGGCCAGGUUGAAGCACAGGUAAAAUUGUGUGGAGGACCGAACUCGUGAGCGUUGAAAAGCUUUGGGAUGAGUUGUGGAUAGGGGUGAAAUGCCAAUCGAACACGGAGAUAGCUGGUUCUCCCCGAAAUAGCUUUAGGGCUAGCCUCAUGGUAAAGAGUAUAGGCGGUAGAGCUCUGAUCGGGCUAGGGCCCACACCGGGUACCGAACCUAGUCAAACUACGAAUGGCUAUACUUAUACAUGGGAGUCAGACUAUGAGUGAUAAGGCCCAUAGUCAAGAGGGAAACAGCCCAGACCACCGACUAAGGCCCCCAAUGCUGCAUUAAGUGGCAAAGGAUGUGGAGUUUCCAAAACAACCAGGAUGUUGGCUUAGAAGCAGCCACCAUUUAAAGAGUGCGUAAUAGCUCACUGGUCGAGAGACUCUGCGCCGAAAAUGUCCGGGGCUAAAAUGCAGAGCCGAAGUCGUGGCAAUGGUAGUAAUACCAUUGGGUAGGGGAGCGUUCUUAUUGGAUUGAAGCAGUACCGGAAGGAGCUGUGGACUGGUAAGAAGUGAGAAUGCCGGUAUGAGUAGCGAAAAGAAAGGUGAGAAUCCUUUCCACCGAAAGCCUAAGGGUUCCUGGGCAACGAUCGUCGACCCAGGGUAAGUCGGGACCUAAUCCGAGGCGAAGACGCAUAGGAGAUGGACAACAGGUUGAAAUUCCUGUACCGACGUCGUCUGUUUGAGCGAUGGAGUGACACAAGAAGGAAAGUUCGCAUGCGAUUGGAAGAGCAUGUCUAAGCAGGUAGGUUGAAUACCAGGCAAAUCCGGUAUUCUAAAAGCCGAGAAGUGAUAGGGAGCCUGUAGAGAUACAGGUGAAGGAACCGGGACUCGAUUGUCAAGAAAAGCUUCUAGUGAGGACGACGCCGCCCGUACCAAAACCGACACAGGUAGGCAAGAAGAGAAUUCUAAGGUGCGCGGGAAAACCCUCGUUAAGGAACUCGGCAAAAUGUAUCCGUAACUUCGGGAAAAGGAUAACCCAGAGUACGUGAAGGAAAGAAACAUCCGGAGCGGGAAUGGGUGGCACAAGAGAGGCCCAAGCGACUGUUUACCACAAACACAGGCGUCUGCUAAAGAGAAAUCUGAUGUAUAGAUGCUGACACCUGCCCGGUGCUGGAAGGUUAAGAGGACGUGUUAGCCGCAAGGCGAAGCAGAGAAUUGAAGCCCCAGUAAACGGCGGCCGUAACUAUAACGGUCCUAAGGUAGCGAAAUUCCUUGUCGGGUAAGUUCCGACCCGCACGAAAGGUGUAACGACUUGCGCACUGUCUCAACGAGGGACCCGGUGAAAUUGAAGUACCUGUGAAGAUGCAGGUUACCCGCGACUGGACAGAAAGACCCCAUGGAGCUUUACUGUAACCUGAGAUUGAAUUUUGGUAGAAGAUGUACAGGAUAGUUGGGAGACGUAGAAGCGCGCACGCCAGUGUACGCAGAGUCGAUGGUGGGAUACCAACCUUGUUUUAUUGAAAUUCUAACGAGAGCCGUAACGAGGCUGCGGACAGUCUCAGGCGGGCAGUUUGACUGGGGCGGUCGCCUCCGAAAGAGCAACGGAGGCGCCCAAAGGUUCCCUCAGCGCGGACGGAAACCGCGCGAAGAGUGUAAAGGCAGAAGGGAGCUUGACUGCGAGACGGACAGGUCGAGCAGGGACGAAAGUCGGGCUUAGUGAUCCGGUGGUGCCGAGUGGAAGGGC